rnacentral:tRNA from 1 species
AAUUCUAAAAUAAAAAGUUUUGAAAACUUAUUUUUACUUACGGUAUAGAAUUU